CUUUUUCGCCCCGCCCUUCAAAUGCGAAAGCGACUGCCUUCUUGGGUGAGUGCAUUAGCUGGGUAGGGUCUGUCCCGGACCUAACUGGAUAGUGUGGGAAGCAGUGGAUCGUUGUUUCAAAAACCAUUUCUUUUUGGAAAUUGUCACAGAGAAGGACUAGAUUUGCGGAUGCCUACCUUAGCUGCAGGCUUAGGCCCACACCUGACGCGUAAGCUGCCUAAACGGCAGCUAACGUAGAUCCACCCAGACGCCGGAAACGGGGGAAGCUCCUGCUUUGCAUGGGUUCCGCUCCCUCCUGUUUGUUGUGGUGUGGAGCCAGGUGGCAUGUGUGGCGAUGGAGUCACGGGGCGGGUGACAGAAUUUAUGCCAGAUUGUAAAAUUCCUGGUUUAAGUUUCCCCUGGAAAAGUUUCGUAAAGGUUAAGAAACGUGUCUGUUGAGGUCCUUUAAAAGCCGGUGCUCUGCUGGGAGUAACGAGCAAACGUUUGUUUUAGCAUCUACGGCUUAAGCUUCCAUAGAGAAGUCGGUAUCUCAAAGUUGCUUGAAACAGAAAAGGACAAAGAGGUUGGUGGAAUAGGGUAACGGAUAAGGUUACUCUUAAGGAGGUUUUAGAGAGCUUUCCCCAGUUUUAGGAGAUGAUUAAUGGUCAUGAAAGUGUGUAAAAUAUACAUGCUAUUGAAGUUGCAACGAAAGACAUAAUUACUGUGCCCCUUUAGUGUUUUCAAACAUUUUCCAGAUCUCACAUCCUAUAAUUUUAGAGUUUUAUCAUCUGAGGCAGAAACAAGACGACUGGAAUCUGAUGACCAGGCAGACUUUUAAACAAUAGGUUUACCAAAAAACUGGAAGCCCUACUAGUUUCUCCAACCUGUUGUUGCUCAGUAAAGAGUGCCCGAGGCCGAGCACUCACGCCUGUAAUCCCAGCACUUUGGGAGGCCCAGUCGGGCGGGACACUUUAGGUCGGGUGUCCGAGACCAGCCUGACCAACAUGGCGCAACCAAUACUGCUAAAAAUACAAAAAUUAGCUGCGCGUGAUGGCGCACGCCUGUAGUCCCAGCUACUCAGGAGGCUGAGGUGGGAGAAUGGCAUGAACCAGGAGGUGGAGGGUGCAGUAAGCUGAGAUUCCACCAGUGCACUCCAGCCUGGGCAACAGUGAGACUCCGUCUCAAAAAAA
rnacentral:lncRNA from 10 species